ensembl:snoRNA small nucleolar RNA SNORA28
AAAAAAAUCUGGUGUGGCAGAUGAUCGACACUGUCUGACACAAUUUGAGCUUGCUACAGCAACAAAGUCUAACCUAUUCCGGUGCUCUCCUCUAUGAGACAAGCCGUUACAUAGACUUAGACAGU